rnacentral:rRNA from 1 species
GGUCAAGCAUUAAGAGCGCAGGGUGGAUGCCUUGGCACUGAGAGCCGAUGAAGGACGUGAUAAGCUGCGAAAAGCUUCGGGGAGGAGCAAAUAUCCAUUGAUCCGGAGAUAUCCGAAUGGGGAAACCCACUUGAGCAAACCUCAAGUAUCCAUACGCCAAUCCAUAACGUAUGGAAGGGAACCGGGGGAACUGAAACAUCUAAGUACCCCGAGGAGAAGAAAGAAACCUCGAUUUCCAAAGUAGCGGCGAGCGAAAUGGAAAGAGCCCAAACCGUGGUGCGUGCACCGCGGGGUUGUGGACUGCAUAAGGUACUCGAAUCAAUAGCCGAACAGUUUUGGGAAAUCUGAUCAGAGAGGGUGAAAAUCCCGUAGGCGAAAUUGAUGAGAGGCUGGCAGGAUC